rnacentral:misc_RNA from 1 species
UCCGGCUUAUCACCGGCUUUCCCAUGCAUGUCAAGCCCAGGUAAGGUUCUUCGCGUUGCGUCGAAUUAAACCACAUGCUCCACCGCUUGUGCGGGCCCCCGUCAAUUCCUUUGAGUUCCAGCCUUGCGGCCGUACUCCCCAGGCGGGGCACUUAAUGCGUUAGCGCCGGCACCCAGGGGGUCGCUCCCCCAGGCACCUAGUGCCCAUCGUUUACGGCGUGGACUAC